AGAGAUGACCAGUCCCGGAAAGUGCUUGCUGGUGACUGGACCUCCGUUGUCAAGAAAAGCAUGAGGGCUGAUAUAACAAGAGAGAGCCCAAUGUCCAUACCAUACCGCACAUUGCAAUUCUCCUAUGGCCGAUCAACUUGCCUCUUCUUCUUCCUUGCCUCCUUCAUGGAGAUAUGAUGUGUUUUUGAGUUUUAGAGGAGAGGACACACACACGAAUUUUACAGAUCAUUAUACAAAGCUUUGGUCGAUAAGGGAAUCAACACCUUCAUUGAUCACCAACUUACACGAGGAGAAGAAAUAUCACUAGCGCUCCUCCAAGCAAUUGAAGAGUCAAGAAUUUCUCUUGUCAUAUUCUCUAAAAACUAUGCAUCUUCAAGGUGGUGCUUAGAUGAGCUCGUCAAGAUUCGUCAAUGUAAAAAAUCAAAGCAACAAAUAGUUUUGCCAGUUUUUUACAAGGUGGAUCCGUCCCAUGUACGAAAUCAAACGAGUAGUUUCGGUGUCGGGUUUACAAAACUUCAGGGCAAAUUCAAGGACAACAAGAAGAAGGUGCUCAUGUGGAGGAGAGCUCUUAGAGAAGUAGCAAAUUUGUCAGGACAUCUGGUCAAGGAGGAAGGCUAUGAAGCUACAAUAAUCAGUAACAUUGUUAAAGAGAUCUCAGUCCGAGUACUUGAUGGCACCUAUUUGAAUGUGGCCAAACACCCUGUUGGAAUACAAUCUUGCGUACAAGAGGUGAAAGAGCUUUUAGGGGUCGAUGGAAAUGGUGGUUGUGUGGUUGGGAUUUGGGGGACAUCUGGAAUAGGCAAGACAACAAUUGCAAAAGCUGUUUAUAAUGCAAUUGCUCAUAAUUUUGAAGGUAGUUGUUUCCUGGCAGAUGUUCGAGAAACAUCAAUGCAACAUGGAGGCCUAACCCAACUACAAAACACUCUUCUAAGUGAGAUUAAUCGUGGUUCAAAGUCGAAAGUUGUCAAUACUCAUCAAGGAAAGAGCCUUAUAGAGAAUUUGUUGAGGCGAAAGAAGAUUCUCUUAAUUCUUGAUGAUGUGGAUGAAUUGGAGCAAUUAAACAACUUGGCUGAAGUCGAAUGGAUUGGUGAGGGUAGUAGAGUGAUCAUAACCACAAAAGAUAGAGGAUUGCUGGAAUCUUAUGGAGUUAAGUUCAUCUACAAGGUCCGAAAGUUAAAUGACGACGAAGCUCUGGAGCUUUUAAGUUUGAAUGCCUUUGGAAGAAAUGAACCUCCAGACAAUUAUUUCGAACUCGUACAACGUGUAGUAGCCUAUGCUCAAGGCCGUCCUUCAGCUCUUAAUUGUAUAGGUUCUCAUCUGCGUAAGAAAAGUAUAAAUCGUUGGCAAGUUAUAUUGGAUAUUUGCGAUUCUUGCAAAGGAGAACCUUACAAUGAUAUUCAAACAGUACUUCAAAAAAGUCGUGAUGACUGGGAUGAUGUCAUGUAACAAGUUAGUUUUGAUAUGUCAUACAGUGACAUCAGACAAUUGAAGGAAUUUAAGAAUUUGGCAAAGUUUACAUCUAUGAAUUUCAGAGGUUGCAAAUUCUUAGAAAAAAUCCCCGACUUAUCCGGAAGCCCAAAUCUAAAGCACUUGGUACUAAGUGAGUGUAAAAGUUUGGUUGAGGUUGAUGAUUUUGUUGGAUUCCUUGAUAAACUUGUUUACUUGAAUCUUAAUGGGUGCUCUAAGCUUACGAGGUUUGCAACAAGACUUGGGUUGAGAUCCCUUGAAUGGCUUUAUCUCAAAGGUUGCACAAGGCUCGAGAGAUUCCCAAAAAUAGAAGAGGGCAAGAUGGAAUCUCUAACGGACUUGGAUAUACAACAAAGUGGCAUAAGAGAAUUGCCUUCAUCAAUUGCGUAUCUUAUUGGGCUUCAAAGAUUGAAAGCAAAUGAAUGUGUGAACCUUACAGGUACAUCAUUACAUCAUAUAUAUGGGUUGCAAGAUCUGAUUCAGGUUUACUUUGGUGAAUGCCCAAAACUCGUGACAUUUGGGAAGAAUAAGGUGAAGUUUGAUGAAGUUUCAUCUUGCAAUACCCAAUCUCUGCUGCAUUCAACUGACUUAGAUACUUCAGAUGACAACUCUAUCACAUUAGCCCUUCCCAACCUAUUUGAUCUUGAUUUGGGAGGAUGCAAUUUAUCUGAAAGUGAUUUCCUUGUGCCUCUUGGUUGCUGGUUCGCAUUAGCAAGCCUUGAUCUGUCAAGAAACAAUUUUGUUAGUCUUCCGGAUUGCAUUAGCAAAUUUGUCAACUUAAUGAAACUAAGAUUGAGUGGUUGCAGGAGGCUUCAAAAAAUUCCACAAGUCCUUCCACCAAGCUUAUGUGGCUUAUAUCUGGAUGAUUGCACAUCAUUGGAGAAAAUUCCAAAAUUGCCCCCGAUGCUUGAGCGUUUGGAGUUGACUAAUUGCAUUAAACUAAGUGGCGAUGAAGUGGCAAAGUUGAAAAACAAUUGGUUGAAUGAGGAAUCUCUUCAGCUCGCUGACUUGCAAGUUAUUCUGCCAGGCAAUAAAGUUCAAAAGUGGCCAGGCUAUACCCCUUGCCCAUCUUACAACCACUGAACAUCUAUCAGAAAAUGAAUUUGGUUUUGAAAGUCCUCUACAUUCCCAAGGGGAUACGUUAUAUUGUUAGCUCUAUCUGUUGUUCUUGGAGCAGGAACUAAUUAUUUUGAUAAUCUUUAUAUUCUCAUCAAGGGAGUACAAAAGCUUGUACCUUAUUUAUGGGAUGAGAUGAAAAUUGAGGCAACUCGUGUGGCCCAAGUUAGUGGAUUUAGACGAUCACGAGCAGCAGGGUGAUAUUUGUCAAAGUUAUAGUUCCUUUCCCCAACUCUGCACGCAUUAUAAGUUGAUGGGUGCACCGCCUAUUGCCGAACCAAGACGAACGACUUCCCUUGUCUUUGGGAUCAAUGAGUAGUCUUGGGAAGAAGCCUUGGCCAGUUGGAUCGAUAUCGUCGAUGAUGAUAGGAUCUGCAACAACAAUGGCUUUCCUGAUCUUUGGAGCCAGCGGAUGAUCAUCUGAAACACAGGCAUAUUGAUCUCAAUUUUCCUAUUGAUAUUGAGGUGGAGCAAGAGCAACCGUCCACUUCAAUCGAUCAACAGUGAUCUCCGAUUUGUUAGGAAUUUGGGUACAUUCAUUUGCACUUUCCUGUUCUUUUAAAGUUAAGCAUUAACUUCUUAUUCUACUGUCUUGCGUUUGUCCUUCUAUUUUCUUGAUAUGUUGGUGCAACCUUUUUUAUAAACGGCUUUUCUGUUGAAUAACUUGUCCUUGUUCUGCUAUCAAAUAUGUACAUUUGAUAUAUUUAUAUUUAUGGCCAAACUUUGUAUCAUA